GCCCAGACUCCUACGGGAGGCAGCAGUGGGGAAUAUUGCACAAUGGGGGGAACCCUGAUGCAGCGACGCCGCGUGGGUGAAGGAGCACCUCGGUGCGUAAAGCCCUAUCGGCAGGGAAGAAAAGCGAACAGGUUCGCCUGGACGGUACCUGACUAAGAAGACCCGGCUAACUACGGGCCAGCAGCCGCGGGAAUACGUAGGGGGCAAGCGUUAUCCGGAUUCACUGGGUGUAAAGGGAGCGUAGACGGCGACGCAAGUCUGGAGUGAAAGCCCGGGGCCCAACCCCGGGACUGCAUUGGGAACUGGCGCGCUGGAGUGCCGGAGGGGUAGGCGGAACUCCUAGUGUAGCGGUGAAAUGCGUAGAUAUUAGGAGGAACACCAGUGGCGAAGGCGGCCUACUGGACGGUGACUGACGCUGAGGCUCGAAAGCGUGGGGAGCAAACAGGAUUAGAUACCCGAGUA
rnacentral:rRNA from 1 species